rnacentral:rRNA from 1 species
AUUGAACGCUGGCGGCAUGCUUUACACAUGCAAGUCGAACGGUAACAGGGAGCUUGCUCCGCUGACGAGUGGCGAACGGGUGAGUAAUAUAUCGGAACGUACCCAAGAGUGGGGGAUAACGUAGCGAAAGUUACGCUAAUACCGCAUACGAUCUAAGGAUGAAAGCAGGGGAUCUUCGGACCCUGUGCUCCUGGAGCGGCCGAUAUGUGAUUAGCUAGUUGGUGGGGUAAAGGCUCACCAAGGGGACGAACAGUAGCUGGUCUGGGAGGACGACCAGCCACACUGGAACUGAGACACGGUCCAGACUCCUACGGGAGGCGGCAGUGGGGAAUUUUGGACAAUGGGCGCAAGCCUGAUCCAGCAAUGCCGCGUGAGUGAAGAAGGCCUUCGGGUUGUAAAGCUCUUUUGUCAGGGAAGAAACGGGAGUGGCUAAUAUCCAUUCCUAAUGACGGUACCUGAAGAAUAAGCACCGGCUAACUACGUGCCAGCCGCCGCCGUAA